rnacentral:rRNA from 1 species
GAAAUCUGGUCCCCUCUGGGGGCCCGAGUUGUAAUUUGAAGAGGAUGCUUUUGGCGAGGCGCCUUCCGAGUGCCCUGGAACGGGACGCCACAGAGGGUGAGAGCCCCGUAUGGUAGGACGCCGAGCCUCUGUAAAGCUCCUUCGACGAGUCGAGUAGUUUGGGAAUGCUGCUCAAAAUGGGAGGUAAACCCCUUCUAAAGCUAAAUAUUGGCCAGAGACCGAUAGCGCACAAGUAGAGUGAUCGAAAGAUGAAAAGCACUUUGAAAAGAGAGUUAAACAGCACGUGAAAUUGUUGAAAGGGAAGCGCUUGCGACCAGACUUGCGCCCGUCGGAUCAACCGUCCCUCGUGGGCGGCGCACUCCGGCGGGCUCAGGCCAGCAUCAGUUUUCCCGGGGGGAGAAAGGCGGUGGGAACGUAGCUCUUCGGAGUGUUAUAGCCCGCCGCGUAAUGCCCUCGGGGGGACUGAGGACCGCGCGUAUGCAAGGAUGCUGGCGUAAUGGUCGUCAGCGACCCGUCUUGAAACACG